rnacentral:lncRNA from 1 species
AAGCCAGUAAGCAACACUCCCCAACAGCCUCUGCUUCAGCUCCUGCCUCCAGGCUUCUGCCUUGAGCUCCUGAUCUGGCUUUUCUCAGUGAUGGACUGUAACCGUGAUCUGAGGCGACCCCUGAGGAAGAAUUGUUUGACCAUCCCAAAGGGAUCAAGGCUCACAGGUUGAGAACCGCUGCUCCAGCCCCUUCGGCUGUUUUUAUUGCAGGCAUUGAAUGAGCUUCGGCUUGGAUGUCAGACUCCCGUUCCACUUCAUAUGUCAGCAUGUCAGUCAUUCGAGGAGUGUCUACAAGCAAGUGACAGAAGGAGGUUCAGCCCUAACUUAUCUAACCCUCUUCAGGCUGAAGACAAAAAGAUAAGACUAAGUAGGAACAUGCUGCGUAAAACAUUGUGGGAUUAGUGAGCAUCUGGGCAUCUUAAAUUUUGACUGGCAAUUGACUCUAACUUCAACAGACGAAGAUCCACCCUUCAUCCAGCUCUCCAGGAAUAACAGUAAUUGGAGGUAGAAUAAAGCAUUAGUCACAGACAGCUCCUGCUUAGGCUCUGAAACCUGUAAGGCAUCUGGAGAAUGCUGGAGUCUGGCUUCCUUGAACUGAGAACAUCAAAGGCAAUGAGAAAGACUGAGAGGGGG